CCCUUAGACGUUCUGGGCCGCACGCGCGCUACACUGAACAGUUCAACAAGUCUUAACCUUGGCUGAUAGGUCUGGGUAAUCUUUGAACGCUGUUCGUGAUUGGGAUAGACCUUUGCAAUUAUGGGUCUUCAACGAGGAAUUCCUAGUAAACGCAAGUCAUCAGCUUGCAUUGAUUACGUCCCUGCCCUUUGUACACACCGCCCGUCGCACCUACCGAUUGAAUGGUCCGGUGAAAUCUCGGGACGGCGGCUUGGUCGCUUGCGUCCGACUGCUGAAACUUGAUUAAACCAUAUCAUUUAGAGGAAGGUGAAGUCGUAACA
rnacentral:rRNA from 1 species